rnacentral:lncRNA from 1 species
UUUCUUCUUGUCCAAAAUGUAAACGUAGUUUUUAUUUUUCUUCACAAUAAUGCAAUUCCCACAAUGAUAAUCAUUUCAUCAUGCAAACAUGGGGUGAUAUAUGUAUAUAAGACUGCACAAUACAGUACAAAUACUAACCCUUGGUCAUACACACACCCCUUCCAGAGAUCGAAGAGACCAAGACCUGUGAGGGCACUGGCUAUGACAAUUUUUAAAUUCUUAACUGCAAGAAUAGUAUACUUAUAUAUAUUUUGUGCUUAGUAAGUAAUUAUUCUAUUAGUACUAAAUAAUAUAGGUACUUACCAGCUUCAACUUAAAUAUUUUAACUAUCGUACCUGAUCCCUAGCAAAGGAGCUCUGGAUCAUUCCCCAAACUCCUGAAAAAUGUUAAUGAAUUUUGGCAUGUCUUUAUGGAACUAUAGUUUAAAUGCUCUGGACAACUUCAGUAAAAGGUUUCAUUUAAUUAAAACAAAACAAAACAGUAAGAUGAGUAAUGUCCUUGAAAUCACACCCUUCCAUUUUUCCCUGUGGUUAUUCACAAAUUUUAAUUUCAGAUAGAUACCAUAGUAUAUAACUAGUGAUCAAAAUAUUAAUGAAUGAACUAUGUCCAGGAAGGGGCAAAAUUAAAAUUCUGAAUGAUAGAAGUUCAUUAAAGUUGAUACCUGAAAGUAUAACAGCAAUAGAUUUGCUCAGAAAUAUCUAAGUUAAAAAGAUUAAAGAAAUAAGGCACUUAUUUUAUAAAAUAUAUUUUUAUUAAGGAACAAAUGACUGAGUCUGGUUAUUAAAGAAAAAAUACCAUCAGAAGCAGAAAUAAAGAACUCUAAGACAGAAAAGUGCAAUUAUGCUAAGCCAGUUCACAUAUUUAUCUUAGCAAAUCCCAAGUUUUAAAAUUUUCAAUGCCUUUUGAUAUUUUAUUCUAUAGAAAAAUUACAUUUAAAAUCCAAACCAAAACAAUAUUUUAUGAAAGCAAACAUUAGCCUUUCACCAGCUAAAGUCCAAAAAAAUAAAAUGUUCUCGGUAAGAGAAAUGCCAGAUUUAGUGAUAAUCCCCUUCUCUUCACAAAAAUGAUUCCUCCCUGAGUUAAGAAUUAUGUUCUUCCUUUGUAUUAAAAAAGUGAAAUGAAGUAGAGAUCAGGCAGUGUGGAACAGUUUUUCAUUUCAAGUUCUUAUUUAAAUUCCAGUUAGUUAACAUAUAGUGUAAUAUUAGUUUCAGGAAUAGAAUUUAGUGAUUCAUCACUUACAUAUAACACUCAAUGCUCAUCACAACAAAUGCCCUCAAGGUAAAGUCAUGGCUCAUUACCCAAAAGCCCUAUGGCAAAAAUAUUUAGACCUAAAGGAAGUUGAGUAUUCCUGUAGGUAAUCAUGUGUUCCAAGGACAAUGAAAGGUUUCCUGGAAGAAUUAAUGUAUUUAGAGCCAACACUACUCCAAAUGAUUAGUAUCAUUUCUAAAUGAUAGAAUAUUAGAACAAUAGCAGCCAAGUCCAUGAUUUUGACAUCAUUGGUCCAAUGAUCAAAUCCAGAGUACAAAGGUUUAAACUACUUAGAAAUGGGACACCAAGCAUAUGUAUUUGAUUAACUCGAACUAAAACUCUUGAGAUAAAAAAUGUAUAAAAUAGUAAAAUGAGUUAUACCUUUGUGACAUAUUUCUAGGUUUGGUAUUAAUAAAUAUACAAUGCAACCAAACAAUAAAAAUAGCAUUUUCAAAUUAAAUACUAAUUUAAGCUAAUUGGAAGUGAUUCAUUUUUUUGUUGAUUUGACUAACAACUUUGAUCAAAUAUUUCAUAAGUUUUGCUGUGUAGUGCAAUAGCAAGUCUUAAGUUUAAAAAAUCCCUUGGAUAUCAUACAUGCCUAAAGUAUGUCUGAAAUAGAUUCUUAACUGGUUUUACUACACAAGUAUUUUCAAGUUUAACCAAGUCUUGAAGUCAUUUCAAGCUCAAGUCAUGAAUUUAAAUUAAAAGCAUAUAUAAGUAGUGAAGCUAGAUGUUUAAUAAAAGUGGUAUUUUCCCAUAAUUCAUUAGUUAGACAUUCAAUCUAUAAACAAGUUCAUUUAAGUAAGUUUAUGUCCUAAUGGAACUAAAAAUGCAGUACUUUCUUCUUCUACAUUCUAGAGACAAAACAAAAUAAAACAAUAAUUUUUUAAAAUUUUUAAAAUAAAGCUAUAAUUUACUACUUCUCUCCAAAUACUAGUUUACAUUAAGAGUUGCUUAAACAUCUUCAUGGAAUUAGGGGAAUUCCAUAUCCAAAGUAAAUCUUUGUUUAUAAUGUUUAGCGAAUAAUUAUUUGAUAAUUUCACUUGCAAUUAAAUUUCUUUAAAAUUGAACAGUGGAAUAAAAGUUAAAUUUUGAUAGAUAAUCUGAAAAUUUUACCUAUUCAAAAUCUUCCUUAAGCCAUAUUUUUCUAUUUUAUAUGUUGCUAGGUUAGAAAGUGAUCUUAAUAGAUUUGAAAUUCUGUAACUUUUUCUAACUCUAUUCAUCACCAUCAGAGUAUCAUACUCUGAUUCAAAGUAUCAAUGUAUAAGUACCACGCGCUAACCGAUUGCGGGAGUGAAUGGGUGACGGGCACUGGGGUUUAUUCUGUAUGUUAGUAAAUUGAACACCAAUAAAAAAAAAAAAAAAAAACAAAACAAAACAAAAAAAAA